rnacentral:hammerhead_ribozyme from 1 species
GCACUGCUGAGGAGUCCCAUACUAAGACGGAACGACCGUCCAGUGC